rnacentral:rRNA from 1 species
UACGUAGGGUGCAAGCGUUGUCCGGAAUUAUUGGGCGUAAAGAGCUCGUAGGCGGUUUGUCGCGUCUGCUGUGAAAACUCAGGGCUUAACCCUGAGCCUGCAGUGGGUACGGGCAGACUAGAGUGUGGUAGGGGAGAUCGGAAUUCCUGGUGUAGCGGUGGAAUGCGCAGAUAUCGGGAGGAACACCUAUGGCGAAGGCAGCUCGCUGGGACGUUACUGACGCUGAGACGCGAAAGCGCGGGGAGCAAACAGG